rnacentral:rRNA from 1 species
UACGGGGGGGGCAAGCGUUGUCCGGAUUUACUGGGCGUAAAGGGCUUGUAGGCGGCCAACUAAGUCAGACGUGAAAUCCCUCGGCUUAACCGGGGAACUGCAUCUGAUACUGGAUGGCUUGAGAUUGGGAGAGGGAUGUGGAAUUCCAGGUGUAGCGGUGAAAUGCGUAGAUAUCUGGAGGAACACCGGUGGCGAAGGCGGCAUCCUGGACCGAGAUUGACGCUGAGGCGCGAAAGCUAGGGGAGCAAACGGG